CUACGUGCCAGCAGCCGCGGUAAUACGUAGGUGGCGAGCGUUGUCCGGAAUUAUUGGGCGUAAAGGGAGCGCAGGCGGGCGAGUAAGUCUUUCUUAAAAGUGCGGGGCUCAACCCCGUGAGGGGAGAGAAACUACUCAUCUUGAGUGCAGGAGAGGAAAGCGGAAUUCCUAGUGUAGCGGUGAAAUGCGUAGAUAUUAGGAAGAACACCAGUGGCGAAGGCGGCUUUCUGGACUGUAACUGACGCUGAGGCUCGAAAGCCAGGGGAGCGAACGGGAUUAGAUACCCCGGUAGUCCUGGCCGUAAACGAUGAAUGCUAGGUGUAGGGGGUAUCGACCCCUCCUGUGCCGGAGUUAACGCAAUAAGCAUUCCGCCUGGGGAGUACGGUCGCAAGACUGAAACUCAAAGGAAUUGACGGGGGCCCGCACAAGCGGUGGAGUAUGUGGUUUAAUUCGACGCAACGCGAAGAACCUUACCAGGUCUUGACAUUGAUGGACAGAACUAGAGAUAG
rnacentral:rRNA from 1 species